UUAAAUGUUAAAGCUAAUUCAAAUACAAAAAAAAUACUGUGUGGGCUGAUGCUGGCUGUUUUGUAAGCUCUGGUCUAGCCAGACGCUGAGCAGCACUGCCGAGGAAGGGGCAAGCGGAGGGAAAUGGGCCCACAAAGAGGCUGAGAAGGAGCAGCCCAGAGAGGCAGGAAGGAAGCCAGAGAGAGGCAGCAAUGCUGCCUCUUCCAGGAAGGCCUCCUGACCAGCCCCUUUUGCCAAAAGACAAGGGCAGGUCCCGGCUAAAGAACUCACACGUGCUCCCCGUGACGUAAAUUCUGGGAGACGCAUCAGUUUCACGAGGUGAUGGAGGGCGCAUGAAAGCGAAGAUAAAGGGGUACCAGACAAAGAAACAAGUCAUCAUCUAUGGAGAGAGUGGGUGUUUUGCGGUUGCCCAGUGAUACUGACUGAAGCGGAUGUUACGUAAGAUUGUUUGCAUCCUGCGGCGGACCGUCCUGACGUGGUGGUGAGCAUCACAUCCAUUCCGUGUAUCCUUUCCCACCAGGUGUGGCCUGCCUCUCCCGCCGCCCCCCUCCCCCCGCAGCAGGGUCCUGCGUGGGAUGCAGGGUCCGCCCGUCCAGGAACGCCUGCAGCAGAUCUUGACGUGAGGGGAAAGUAACUUGGAUCACGCCAGACUCUGCAGUGGGCGUUUACCUAUCACAGUACCACCUGAAGUCACCCCCCGUCUGUGCUGUACUCGCUUAGCCCUUGUCCUACCGUGACCCUCCUGGCCCCUUCUCUUCUUCAGGAUACACGCGCCCCAUCCCCCGGGGCCUUCUCCCCCUCCGGCAGUCCUCUGGGAUGUUCUCAGUGGCAGGCAAACCUGCUUCUGCUGUGCGUGCUGGGGGCGCCAGCAGGGGAGGUUCCCGCCAGCUGCCCAGCUUCACCUCCCCACACCCCAGCACCGUAGCCCCAAAUUCAGGGGAUCCUGUCCUGUUCCACCAUGCUCCAGCUCUGUCCCAUGGAGGUUCUGAGAUGUCUUAGAAUAAUAGACUUCAUUAUUAUUCAGGCACGGUGAGGCCAAAGGAUUGGAAGCCUACUGUCUCAACAAGAUGGUUUGCCAUACUCACAGGUUCCAAGGGCAGGGGGCACUGUCUCUUCCUGGCUGGCAGUUGACUGCCCUUCUAGAUGUAUCCUCAUGAGGGAGACAGAGUCAGAGACAGAGACACAGGGUGGGGGGCACUCUGGAGUGCUUUCCUCUUCCUACCAGGUCACUAAUCCCCACGUGAGGGCUCCACCCUCAUGACUUAAUCACCUCCCAAAGGCCCCACCUCCUAAUACAAUGGUACAUUGGGAGUUAGGGCUUCAACGUGUGAUUUGGGGGUUGAGGGGUGGGAGCACAUUCAGUCCACAGCACCCUACAAGAAAGGAACGCCCACUCUCUUCUGCAAAGUACGUUUGCAAGAACCCCACCCUCUUAUGAGUACCUUACCUCAAGACGGGUGAUGGGGUAAUUGUGCCACUCUGGACCUCUGCAUGUCUGAAGCUUCUCUUUAGAACAGGCAGACAUUUAUCACCUAUGCACUUUCCCACUGGGACCUCAAUCAAAGGGCAGAGAUGGGGGAAAUUCCCUUUAAAAAAAAACAACCAAGCUUUAUUGAGGUAUAAGUAUUGAUAUACACAGAACUGCAUUUAAUGUAUACUAUUUGAUGACUUUGGACAAAUGCAAACACUGUGAUACCAUCACCACAAUCAAGGUAACGGAUGUUUUCAACACCUCCCAGGCUUUUCUUAUUCCCGCUUUUAACAUCCUUUUAUGCUCUCCUUUGAGAAGGUUUUUUUAAAUUUAUUUUAAAAAUUAUUUAUUUAUUUUUGGCCAAACCGCGAGGCAUGCGGGAUCUUAGUUCCCCGACCAGGGAUCGAACCCGGGCC